rfam:Helianthus annuus linkage group 6, whole genome shotgun sequence.
GUUACAGCUGUCUCUGAUUCGCUUGGUGCAGGUCGGGAACGGUAUCGCCGGUGGUACCUGAUCCCGCCUUGCAUCAAGUGAAUCGGAAACCGCCGUGAAG